AUGAUUCUGUCCCACAGAAAUUCCUGUUGUCGGAUUCUCCAGCCGGAGGAGAACCGCAAAUAUAUAAACAGAAGUCUGCAAAAAUCCCAGGAUCAUGCAACCUAUUUUAUGCACUUGGACCCCAGCAAAAGCAACUGGGGAGAGCUAUCUCAAAGGAGGGAGGGAGGGGGUCCCCCCGCCCCGGAAGGGCGGGAAGGGCUAAUUGGAACAGACGCACCGAUUUCCAGCGAGGAGAAGCCUCCUUUUGACCUGUGCAGUGUGCACCCCAGAAUUCCGACCUACACCGAUGCCUGCCUCCUGCAAGGGCGUCUCGCCCCCUCCCCACCCCAUCCCAUGCUUGAACCCACUCUGGAAGGCACCAGAGAGAGCAGCUCCAGACCCCGGGGGUGGUGUGCUGGUGAUGAAGGAAAGCUGCCAAGCAGACCAAGGUGGGAUUCUCAGGUCAGCUUCCAGGACCACUCCCACCCCUACACUUGCCCUUGGGCAGGGCGCACGCCUGGAGGUGGCUGGCAAGGCCAGAACGCCCCAUAUCUGGGGGGGGGGGGAGGUUUAGGAGGAGAGUCGGAUUCCCUCACCUCCUCUUCGGCUUCGGGAAGCCCGACCCGAACCCCCAAAAUUCCCAGAGAAGGUGUGGUGGGCUCCCCGGGUCCCCGCCCGUGGCGCCCCGCCCCCUAUUGCGGGGCACGCCGGGAAACGAAGUUCUCGGCCUCGUCGCCGCAACAGGCGGUCCGCAGGCUCAGACUACAGGUCCCAGGAUGCACUGCACUCCGCAGCCCGAGGAGGGCCGUGGUUGCCCUUGGCAACAGAGCGGGUCUCCGGGAGUCGGGACCCGGACGCGCACGGGAGUUGGGGGUAGGGGUGGGGGUGGCGGGGCCGGAGCGCGACCUGAGCGAGGCAAAGACGCGGGCAGAGCGACGGACGGGAGACAGGAGGAGACGGACAGAGCGGCACAGGGUUUUCCAGAGCCAGAGAGGGGGAGAGACGUGGAGGGAGGGGGAGACCCCCAGAGACGAAGAGAGAGGUUCAUAG
rnacentral:lncRNA from 1 species